rnacentral:rRNA from 1 species
UACGUAGGGUCCUAGCGUUGUCCGGAAUUAUUGGGCGUAAAGAGCUCGUAGGCGGCGUGUCGCGUCGGAUGUGAAAGCCCAGGGCUCAACCUUGGAAUUGCAGUCGAAACUUCAAAUCUUGAAUGUCUGAGAGGAUGGCGGAAUUCCCGGUGUAGUAGUGAAAUACGUAGAUAUCGGGAAGAACACCUGAGGCGAAGGCGGCUAUCUGGCGGUACAUUGACGCUGAGGCGCGAAAGCGUGGGGAGCAAACAGG